CUACGGGCGGCUCCAGUGAGGAAUAUUGGACAAUGGAGGCAACUCUGAUCCAGCCAUGCCGCGUGCAGGAAGACGGCCCUAUGGGUUGUAAACUGCUUUUAUACAGGAAGAAUGUUAUCUACGUGUAGAUGUUUGACGGUACUGUACGAAUAAGGAUCGGCUAACUCCGUGCCAGCAGCCGCGGUAAUACGGAGGAUCCAAGCGUUAUCCGGAAUCAUUGGGUUUAAAGGGUCCGCAGGCGGUUCAUUAAGUCAGAGGUGAAAUCCUACCGCUCAACGGUAGCAUUGCCUUUGAUACUGAUGGACUUGAGUUAUAGUGAAGUAGUUAGAAUGUGUAGUGUAGCGGUGAAAUGCAUAGAUAUUACACAGAAUACCGAUUGCGAAAGCAGAUUACUAACUGUAUACUGACGCUGAGGGACGAAAGCGUGGGGAGCAAACAGGAUUAGAUACCCUCGUAGUC
rnacentral:rRNA from 1 species